UUGCCAAAAUGUCUUGUUUUCUGUAAUGAAAACUUCGUUCUCUAUCCAACAACUAAAUGAUGACACUGGAUAGUGUAACUGAGGAUAUUAUCGUGGUUAUUUUAUGUACUCACAUCACAGCAAAAAACGAGUCUCCAUUUACCAUAUCAUACAAUCUCAAUCUUCUCGAAUUGCCCCGAACUGCUCCCGGCCAUGACAAUGAAUUUUUGUUCCUGAAACAUACCUUAAUAAUCAAAGCCAUAUAUGUACUCUAAGAAACUGUUUAAUUAUUAUUUGCCACAGUACAUUUGAUUCCUUGUUCUUCAUUAAUUUUCAUUUGUACUACACACCGAUAACUAACUUUGGUAUCACUGCUGGUUUUACGAAAAUGGUUGUUCCUCCUAUCGAGUUACUAGAAACUGAUUGACACUUAUUUUAUCCAAUAGUACUUAUUCUCAUGUUUAAAAUGGUACAUCCUUUGCCUGUCUUUGAGUAAUGUAAAGGUCUGAUUGGAUAAUGCGUAACCAAGUCACCAAGAUGUAUUGCCCGUGCGCAGCGACGCACGGUUCAUUGCGUUCUUCAUUGCGACGAAAUACGAGUUUCUGACAAGUAGUUUUUAAUCAUAGUUUAUAUUAUAGUCCUAUAGUUUAGAUUAUAUUAUAUCCUCUAUUGCAUUAUUCUCUAUUCCUUCAUUCAAAAAUGAAGAAAUAUACCCGGGAACACGAAGAAGACGAGGUUGGGGCAAGUAUAGAUUCCCUCGAGGAGUUGGAUUGGGAUGAUCGCAUUGACCGUGUCCUUGACAUAGAUGUCCCUGCAGGAGACACACCUGUCCUCGCCCCUCUCCCAACACCCCUCACCUUUUCUGACCUUCCAGGUCCGUCAAGCCCUCCUCCAGCUCCAAGGCAGACGAGGGCCAAAAGGAGAGUGCGGCCAUCCUCCAAGACAGCAACAGCACCCAUACCACUGCCGCCUCCUUCAAAGAGGAGAAGACCUGCCCUACUGGUGGAUAGAGGGCAUGAUGGUGGUUCUGAGGAGAACGUGUGCCCCUCACAGAUUCCUGCAAGGCAGACGAGGGCCAAAAGGAGAGUGAGGCCAUCCUCCAAGACAGCAACAGCAUCCACACCAUGGCCGCUUCCUUCAAAGAGGAGCAGACCUGCCCCACUGGUGGAUAGAGGGCAUGAUGGUGGUUCUGAGGAGAACGUGUGCCCCUCACAGAUUCCUGCAAGGCAGACGAGGACCAAAAGGAGAGUGAGGCCAUCCUCCAAGACAGCAACAGCACCCAUACCACUGCCGCCUCCUUCAAAGGCCUCCACCAGACCUGCCCCACCGGUGGAUAGAUGGCAUGAUGGUGCUGAGGAGGACGUGUGCCCCCCACAGUUUCCGUUCUGCCCUGAGGACGCCAGGACCGCAGCUUGAUUCCCAGAAAUCUUACAGCCCCCAGGAAAUAGAGAGCCAGCCACUAUGUGUCCCAUUAGAAGCCUGUGUACUCUCCAAUGAUCCCAACCUAAAAGCCACCAAGGGGAGGAGGAAGUGCCGACUCUGCAAGUCCUCCACUAUAUGGCUAUGUGAGGCUUGUGACGUGCCCCUGUGCAUAAUCCCAGGGCGGUGUUGCUUCAGAUUUUGGCAUGAGGCCAAAAGCAGACAGUGUGUCUGAUUUUUUUUUUUAUGUUAUAUAUAUUUUUUUUUUGUAUACAUAUUUGUACAUAGUUCUUUUUUGUGUGUACUUAUUUGUAAAUAGUUAAUUUUCCCUUUGCCUCCUAAAAUCCAACCCCUCAUCCACGUUGUAGGAGGUGGUAACAGCACAUUACAUGUGAGGCAUUUGUAGUUGUUCUGGCUAACCGGGCUCUGGUGUGGACAUUUUUUUUUUUCAUUUUGAUUUUAUUUUAUGAAAGACUGAGACCACUGGAACAAACAUCAGGACAGGCUUCACUUCAAAUAAGUACAAAACCACAAAAACAUACAUGAUAAUGUGAUAAUGUACUUCUAGAUGGAUUUGGAUAGGUUUUUGGGUAUAUUUUGGAUAGGCUAUAGACCAUCAUGUAUAUUCUCACAAGAAAAUACAAUACAAUGCAAAUUAUUACAUUGAAAUUAAUUCAAAAUGGUUUGCUGUAGUACAGAAGGCAAGAUAAAGUUAGAAUGCUGGAUAUACAGUGACUUUUGUAUUUGGUGAUUUUGGAGAGGUUAUGAGACACUUGGAGACGUCUAAAGACACCAUAUGGAAACUGAUGUGUGGCACUUGUAAACUUUUGUCUAUCUGCUUCAAAUUGUUUACACACACUGUCAAGAUGUUGUUGAAUCCGGUAAUAUAGGUUUUGGUUUCCUCUGACAUUCAAAACCCAGUUCUAUACUAAAACAAUAGACGUUUAUGUUUUUUCCUGACAAAUCCUUACUUUUGCUGCUCUGAAAACACUUGAAAAAACUAAUUUCAGUUGAUGGCCUAAAUGUCUUCUUUAAUUUAAGCCAUGAAUGGUUAUUAUGCAAUGUGUAGAACCAUAGAUAUUCAAGUUUUAAAUGAAACAGAGCAAACUAGGCGGAAAUUGUCAAAAAACACCCUUCUGGACAAUGGGGCUAAAUGGAUUUUCUAUAGGUUAUUUACACAUCUAUGUGUAAAGAAACGUCUCAAGAUAUUGACAAACUGAAAAAAUUGAAAAACUUUUUUCGCCAUCGGACAACAACGAUUUUGUUCAAGUUUCCCGUUCAUCUGUUGGGCGAAGGGAGUUAUUCCAUCACAAGUCCAUAUCUUCUGGAUUGUAGAUGGGCGUGAAUACAACAAAGUUUCUGAAUCUAUUUGGCCAAACGAUAGUCAUUCAGCAACAGAAUUCACUCAAAGUCGGGUUUGGCUUUCCGAAUGGAACUUAGAAGCUGUGAUACAGUGCACAUGCGUGGUUGAAACAGGAAGGAAGAACGUAUAAAAAACAAUUAAACAUCAUAUGCCGGGUGAAUUAAUUUAUCCAUUUCACUCAUGCGUUACCUGUCCUCUUUGAAGAGUCACUUGAGGUCCACUUGCGCACCACUUUGCACCAAAGCCGUAUUCGUGCAUAAAUUGGUGAUAUUAGAGCCUGCCGGGACCAAUUGCAUUGUAAUAUUUCAUAGGCCAUUUCCUUCACAUGUUGUUAAAAGACAAGGAAUGAUCUGUAUGGAAAUGUUUACAGUGACAAUGCAUUAUUUUACACAGACUCCGGUACCAACGCAUGUUCCAUUCUUGUUUAUGGGAUCUCCUUUGCAUCACUUCUUAUAAUAGCAGGAGAGGUGGUGGGUAUACACCACUGUAAGUAUAGGAAUAAGGAACAUGGUAUGCACUUUAACAGUGUCCUAUUUCCUAUCCGCAAGCUUGAAGUUUUUUAAAUAAAGUGUAUGUUUUCUGAAAUCUUAUUUGUCUA
rnacentral:lncRNA from 1 species